rnacentral:rRNA from 1 species
GGAGGCGAUCAUACCAGCACCAACGAACCGGAUCCUAUCAGAACUCCAAAGUUAAGCGUGUUUGGGCGAGAGUAGUACUAGGAUGGGUGACCCCCUGGGAAGUCCUCGUGUUGCAUCCC